GAUCCUGGCUCAGGAUGAACGCUAGCUACAGGCUUAACACAUGCAAGUCGAGGGGCAGCAUUUUAGUUUGCUUGCAAACUGAAGAUGGCGACCGGCGCACGGGUGAGUAACACGUAUCCAACCUGCCGAUAACUCCGGGAUAGCCUUUCGAAAGAAAGAUUAAUACCGGAUAGCAUACGAAUAUCGCAUGAUAUUUUUAUUAAAGAAUUUCGGUUAUCGAUGGGGAUGCGUUCCAUUAGUUUGUUGGG
rnacentral:rRNA from 1 species